rnacentral:rRNA from 1 species
AAACCAACAGGGAUUGCCUCAGUAACGGCGAGUGAAGCGGCAAAAGCUCAAAUUUGAAAUCCCCCCGGGGAAUUGUAAUUUGAAGAUUGUGUUUUGGAAACGACCGUGUCUAUGUUCCUUGGAACAGGACGUCACAGAGGGUGAGAAUCCCGUGCGGCACGGCCACCGUUUCCUUAUAAAACACUCUCGACGAGUCGAGUUGUUUGGGAAUGCAGCUCAAAGUGGGUGGUAAAUUCCAUCUAAAGCUAAAUACAGGCGAGAGACCGAUAGCGAACAAGUACAGUGAUGGAAAGAUGAAAAGCACUUUGAAAAGAGAGUGAAACAGUACGUGAAAUUGUUGAAAGGGAAGGGCAUGCCGUCAGAUUGUCAGUGUGGGUAAGAAGCGGGGUACAAAGACUGUGGAACGUGGCCCUCGGGUGUUAUAGCCACAGUUCAUCCCCCGUCUCUUUCCGAGGCCUGCUUUGAGGACACCGACGUAAUGACGGUACGCCGC